UAAUAACGACAACACAACUGUGAUUUGAAGAUAAAGAAAAAACAGAUACCUUGUUUGUGUGGAAAAACAGAUGUGAGAUAACUUGGAGGAAAAUAGAUGUUUGAUUUAUAGAGAAAAAUGGAGGAAAAUAUGUGAGAACAAUAUAAAUAUAAAAGAUAGCUUUUGUAUAUUGAAAAAAUGUAAAAGAUAACUGGUAAGAAAACAGAUGUUUGUAUUAAAGAAUGAGAGACAACUGGUUUUGUAAAGCAUUUAAUAAAGAAUGUAAUAAUUGUUUAUUAAAGAAAGACAAAACAACUGGUUUUUGAAAGUACUUUAAUAAGAAUGUAGUUUAGAAAGAAAGACACUACAACUGUUGUUUUAAGAUUUUAUUUGGAGCAUGUUGGUAGAAUAGAGAAAAACAUGUAUUAGAAAGAGCUUUGCUAUAAAGUACAAAAAGGGAUAAUUACCUUUGUAUGAAGUUUUGCAAGACGAGUCCAAAAGCAAACAAAAGCGAAAGCCUUUAUAUAUAGACUAAGAUGAGGGGAAUUCCAGAGAAGAUGACCUCAAGAGGUCAGAUCGUCUAUAAAAGGCUGGAACGAGAAGAGAACAGCAGAUGCUGCUUCGCACCUGAGGAGCUUCUCCAGCACCAGAACCAGCGCAGAUGAUGCCUUGACUGAAGAACUUUUUGAUAUUAUACUUUAUUUAAUCACUUGUAUAGAGUGUUUGUGGAAUAUAUAUAAUGCUAGAAAUACUAACUGUAAUAAAUAAAUGAACUUAUAACUUGAUAACUAAACUCUGCCUCACGUGACAUUAAUUUAAGUCGUUGAACCUGAACAGACCACGGAGAAGUCUUCUGUCUGAUUCAGCUCCAGGAGCUAUCAUCAUCUCCAUCACUCAUCUGCGUAAGGUAUGAAAUUGCUCUGUUUAAUACAUAUGCAUGCUUGAUACAGAAACAUGUUUGAAUAUGAUUCCGUUUAAAUACAGUUUGUCAGUAAUCAGUGUGGUAGAUUUUCCCGUACGCACCUGACUUAAGUUUACCUGGGUGGUCUCCUAAUCGACGUCGGCUGAGUGCUGAGUAACUUGCUGCGCAGCAAUAACCAGACAGACUCCAGACUAUGCCGUAGAAUAUGCUUUAAUCACGGCCGGAGGACCUCGUAUCAAUCACAGAGAAUCCCACCAGCAAGAAGAAUACAACAGUUUAUAUAGGAUAGGAGCAUGGCAAAGCAUUCUAUAUGAUUGGUUCUUCAUAUGUCAAACCCUCAUGUUACUAGGUAAAGCAAGAUCUGCCCAAAUCAUGUGCGUAUUAGUUCGUUUGUUACUCAAUAUCAUGGGCUGUUAUAUUUAGAUAGUUGUCUAGCUGUCCCUAAGUUUCAUUUCCCCUUUUGUUAUAUUCAGACAUGAUUCAGACACACACUGACUUUGGUGACAUUUAGGUUCCAAAAGCAUAUAAAUGUUAUUCCUGCAAUGAAAAAGAAAUGUUAGUUAUGAUUAAUUAAAAUCAUCACAUCACAUCACAGUACCCCCCCCCCCCCCCAUUCGUUUUUUUACACGAUCAAAAUGAAUUUAUGCUUACAUAAUUUAUAUGUUCUUUACUGAAUAAUCCCGUUAUAAGUCACUGCUAAAUUGUACUUCAAUGCCACCUGAUAUCCUUCAUAAUUUUUUCAUAUUCCUUCCAUCAGCAUCCCAAGCUGGAAUGAAAAUACAACCAAUUUUCCCAGUUUUGCCACUUACACAUACCAUCUUCUGAACAUUUUAUCUUUCAACAAUCUCAUUUAAAAAACAAUCCAUACAACAUCAGAUGUCAUUUAGGACAUUCCCAUGCAUUUCUUUUGAAAAAUGAAGAUUCAGUUGUAUGUGUGUUUGUGUUACAGUGCUGGGUUGUAGAGAUGAGGCGUUCACAGAGAUUAACAAGUAUUUAUUAAUAACCAAGGAGAAGACACAACCAAACACACGUAGAACAACAUUAAGAACGGACAGGGAGUGAAGGGAGUAAGUCCAUAAUAUAGGGAGUGCUGAUGAGGAAAUCCAGGUGCAGAUGAUGAGUGCUGAAGGGGAGAUGACGAGUACCCCCCCCCCCCACGGGUACCUGCCCCUGCAAUGGUCUUACUGUUUAAGGACCUGUGUAAUAAGGUCUAACCAGAAUUUUUUUUUUUUUUUAGAAUUCAUAAUAUUAUUAAUUAUCAUUAAAGCCCCCCUGUAGUCAACAAUUGUAUCCCUUAAUACCUUAUGAAUUUGCACAUGGUUUGUCUGAAAGUACAUUAGAACACCAUAUAGACAUAUAAACAACAUUAAAAACUUGAUUUUCACCACAGGGGGUCUUUAAGGAAUAUCAUUUUUACCAUUAACACAAAUAUCUUGUCUAAUUUUGCAUUGUUUCAAAAUGGACUCUGUAUAACCCAGCUCUUGUCAUAGGAAUAGCCUUAGCUACUGACAUGGCAUUAAAUCUUUAUCUACCUCCCCACAAUCCUAUUUUCCAGAGUCAACUGAUGGACAUGAAAUGUUCUCUAUUUUAAACUAACUCGGAGCCAAUUUAGGUCAUUUUUUUCAUAGUGGAAUAGUUCAUAAUGGAUCCACUGAUCCAGAUCACAGACUCUAUCCACAUUGUGAAUUAAGAAAGCUUUUCAGAAUUUUGCUGUUUGAGCAAUUACUCUAUUUUGCUGGGAUGUCUGUUUAACAUGUUUAACAUUCUUCUUGGUCUAGGUUUUAGCUUUGUGCCCACCACAUAACUUGCUUAAAUACAUGUUUUAUUAAAACAUUAAAAUCUUUAGUGGUAUGUUGGAAGUCCAGUUAUAGCUAAUAAUAAUCUAGAAAUUAAAUGUGUUUCCCUUACAAAUCAAUCUCCUAUGUCAAAUUUGCAAGUCGUAUUAUGAUCUCACAACUUUAAAAAGUUCCUAAACACGGGUUGUCUUUUCUAUAAUCAAUAUUUCACAGAUUUACUGGAUUAGUCAGAUUUUUUGCAAGCUUUAAUCAGAUUGAAGGAGAAUAUUCAUCGCUUUUUCACAGACUUUGAUGACACGGUUUAAUGGUCAUCAGCAUCGUAAAUCCUGCAAAGUUUUAUAUUUCCAUUUUUAAUGUAUGUACAAUAUAACAACACUAUUUUUACCUUUGCAUCAAAUUACAAAAAAACUAGUUAACACUGCUGUUAGGGUGUUUCUAAUAAUGUGGCUAUGGUCAAAUGUCGGUAAAAUUGACAUCAGUCUCUCAUUAUUUUUAAAUUAAGUUCUGAAAACACUAUUGCGGAGUUUUUCCUUUGCUAUUGGAGCAAAUGGGAACAAUAUAUAUAUGUAGUCUCUCAUUCACCGCUAUAGAAGUUAAAAUGUGAAAAGGGUGUAUAUUUGGACCUAGUCCGGCGAAGCGACUCAUACAUUCUCUCUUAUUUAGAGAACAACUAUUGCAACUAUU